GUGCUGCGACCUGCAGCAGUGCAGACCAGAAAGAGAGCAGCUUGUGGGAGCGAGUGGGUCACCAGACUCGAACCCAGUCCGACACGGCCACAGAGCUGAGUCCGAAGGGCUUGCGGGUGUAGCGGAAAACCCCCAUGUGGAUCACAAAAGU